rnacentral:misc_RNA from 1 species
UACGUAGGGGGCGAGCGUUGUCCGGAAUUAUUGGGCGUAAAGAGCUCGUAGGCGGUUCUUUAAGUCGGGUGUGAAAUCUCAGGGCUUAACCCUGAAACCGCACCCGAUACUGGAGAACUUGAGGCAGGUAGGGGAGAUCGGAAUUCCUGGUGUAGCGGUGAAAUGCGCAGAUAUCAGGAGGAACACCGAUGGCGAAGGCAGGUCUCUGGGCAUUAACUGACGCUGAGGAGCGAAAGCUAGGGUCUCGAACCGG